ACGGUAGGAGCGGUUGUGUGAAGAUGGGAGUUUCCCAGAGGAAAUGACAUUUAUCUGAUGAUCACAGGGCCUUCACACCCCUUCCUGUCAGGGGCUGAGAUAUUCCAUACACCAAGCUUGGGUGAUGAGGAAUUUGAAAUCCCACCUAUCUCCUUGGAUUCUGAUCCCUCGUUGUCUGUUUCCGAUGUGGUUGACCACUUUGAUGACUUGGCAGACCCUUCCUCUUCACAGAAUGGCAGUUUUUCAGCCCAGUAUUGGGUCCAGACAUUGAACAUACCUGUGGGUAUGACCCAUGGCUUGAUGGAGCAGGGCGGGGAUCCUCGGUGAAGGCUUUAUCAUGGACUUGGACUACUCUAUAAGAACUCAGUAUAGUGCCAACUCACCUGUUACAAUUGAUGUACCAAUGACAGACAUGACAUCUGACUUGAUAGGGCAUAGCCAGUUGACCACCAUUGAUCAGUCAGAACUGAGUUUCCAACUGGGUUUGAGCUCAGGGGGUGGCACCAUCCUGCCACCUGCCCAGUCACCUGAAGAUCGUCUUUCAACCACCCCUUCACCUACUAGUUCACUUCACAAGGAUGGUGUUGAGGAUUUCCGGAGGCAACUUCACAGCCAGAAGACAGUGGUGGUGGAAGCAGGGAAAAAGCAGAAGCUCCCAAAGAAGAGAAAAAAGAAAGAUCCUAAUAAACCUCAGAAACCAGUUUCAGCAUAUGCUUUAUUCUUUCGUGAUACACAGGCUGCCAUCAAGGGACAGAAUCCUAAUGCCACUUUUGGUGAGGUUUCAAAAAUUGUGGCCUCCAUGUGGGAUAGUCUUGGAGAGAAGCAAAAACAGGUAUAUAAGAGGAAAACUGAGGCUGCCAAGAAAGAGUAUCUGAAGGCAUUGACUGCUUACAUAGACAACCAAGAGUGUCAGGCCACUGUGGAAGCAGUGGAAUUGGAUCCACGACCACCAUCACAAAUUCCUUCUCCAUCUCCUAUGGCUACUGUUGACCCAGCAUCUCCAGCACCAGCUUCAAUAGAGCCCCCUGCCCUGUUCCCAACCACUGUUAACUCCACCCUUUCAUCCUAUGUGGCAAACCAGGCAUCUUCAGGAGUUGGGGGUCAGCCCAAUGUCACCAAGUUGAUUAUUACCAAACAAACGUUGCCCUCUUCCAUUACUAUGUCUCAAGGAGGGAUGGUUACUGUUAUCCCAGCCACAGUGGUGACCUCCCAGGGGCUCCAACUAGGCCAAACCAGUACAGCUACUAUCCAGCCCAGUCAACAAGCCCAGAUUGUCACUUGGUCAGUGUCGCAGGCAGCAGCAGCUGCUGCUGCUUCUAUGCAACUGCCUCCACCCCGACUACAGCCCCCUCCAUUACAACAGAUGCCACAGCGUCCGACUCAGCAGCAAGUUACUAUUUCACAGCAGCCUCCUCCACUCCAGGCCAUAAAACAGCCUCCACCUCAGAAAGUUUGAAUCAAUUUACAGCAACAGCUAUCUCCUCUGCAGAUCAAGAGUGUGUCUCUACCCACUUUGAAAGUGCAGACUACUUUAGUCCCACCAACUGUGGAAAGUAGUCCUGAGCAGCCUAUGAACAAUAGCCCUGAGGCCCAUACGGUGGAGGCAACUUCUCCUGAGACUAUCUGUGAGAUGAUCACAGAUGUAGUUCCUGAGGUUUAGUCCCCUUCUCAGAUAGAUGUUGAAUUGGUGAGUGGGUCUCCUGUGGCACUCUCACCCCAGCUUUGAUGUUUGAGUUCUGGUUGUGAGAACACUUCCAUUGUGAGUAAGGACUGGAACAAUGAAUACUGCAGCAAUGAGUGUGUGACGAAGCACUGCAGGAAUGUAUUCUUGGUCUGGGUAGCCUCUAGAAAUUCAAACACAGUGGUGUUUGUGAAAUAGUCCUUCCUGUUCUCCAAGCCAGUGAAGAGUUAUCUGCUGGGAACAUGUCCAAGAGCCUGUUUUUGAAACACAAGCUGGGCUUCUGGUAGUGCCUG